rnacentral:lncRNA from 1 species
AAAUGUUCUCAACCUGAAUAUGCAUGAAAUAUUAACCUCAGAAUGUAAAGCAACCAAGAAGUAAUAUAACAAAAGGAACAUCAAACAUGAAAUUCCUUUGGUAAUUAAGUACAGAUACCUAUCGUCUUUGAACAAUACUACUGCCAUUUUUUUGGUCAGGUGAAGCAAAAAUCCUCCAACCACACAUUACUUAUACUUAUUUAUUAUCUGUUUACAUUAAAAUUACCAAAACCUGAACAGAAUAUCUUCUUGUUUAGAAAUUGAAAUAGGGAUCACAUUUUACAUUAUAUUAAUACCUUAUUGGUGCAGACCAGGCAGUCUUAUUACCAGUUAAAACAUCUGACUUUGAUGAAAAUAUAACAUAAGCCAAGACUUCAUUUAUUUACAUAUGUAUAUAAUUUGUGUAUUUAAAGUCUAACAAACAAAAAAGUAACAAAUGAACAAAUGUUUCAAUAGUACAUUUAACAUAAACAAAAAUAUAUUGAAAUCACCAUCUUAAAUGUCCAGC